rnacentral:rRNA from 1 species
GAUCAUGGCUCAGGAUGAACGCUAGCGGCAGGCCUAACACAUGCAAGUCGAGGGGCAGCACGGUGUUAGCAAUACACUUGGUGGCGACCGGCGCACGGGUGCGUAACGCGUAUGCAACCUACCCAUAACAGGGGGAUAACACUGAGAAAUUGGUACUAAUACCCCAUAACAUCAGGACCGGCAUCGGUUCUGGUUGAAAACUCCGGUGGUUAUGGAUGGGCAAUGCGUUGUAUUAGCUGGG